GACAGCAGAGCCAGCUGAAACACCCAGACAGCUCAGAGGAACUGCCUGGUGUUCAUGGACCUUGUCUCCAGAUCCCAAAAUUCCCAAAGAACAAACCCUGAUGCACAGACUGCGGGGUCACCGGGUUGGUCUGUGUGGGAUUUCAAGGGGCUGCUAAGGAAGGAGCAAAAAAACAGUGCCACACAGCUUUACCGGCACCUGCAGGCUGUGAUUUGGGGAGGGAGCAAGAGGAACCCUGCUCAUCGGCGUGGUGAGGAUGCUGCCUCACCCGACACGUGCUGACAGCUGCUGCAGGCUGAAGGGCGGUGGAGUUUGGUUCCUUACACACAGUCUGGCACUGAUACCCACGGAGGGGAAAAGCUGCCCAGUGCCAGCAAAGCCACCAAACCUCCUGCCGGGCACUGUGGAAGCUCCCUGUGCUGCUCAGCUUUUAACCCAAAUAAUCGGAUGGGCACUGGAUUUCCUCCUCGCCUUCCAGGAAAAUGACCUCCCGGAGGUCUUGGCAGGGGUUAACUCUGCGCAAAGUAGUCACGCAAUGGGGAGGUCUUCUUCCAAGCACCAAAUAACUUGCAGAAGUAAUGCAUUUGUUCCUAAUUAGGAUAAUUGCCCCAUCACUUUUCUCUGUGGCAUCGGCCAACCUAACUCACAAACGUCUGAAAACACGAGCUGAAGUAUGACCAAAUUUAGGAGCUGAGUCGAGUAAUAUAUUGCCUCGGUUUGUCCUAAAACAUGAAUUGGCUGGGAGUCCUCCUGCGUAUUGCAUUUCCAGGGAACAUGAGGAACCCAUUGUGUAAUUAGCAGUAGUAUUUUCAACGCGCUGUGGUGUGCAGCCUGCGCCGCUCUCUGCCCUCCCGUCCCGGGCUACUGCACCUCCUGGGACCCUCGGUUCGUGGCUGGGAGCUGCCAGGGGGCUACCAAAUGCCUGUGCUGCAGAAGUGCUGAGCACGGCUGUGGUUAAGCAGGAGGUAAGGACUCACCUCCUCCUUCCUCCCCACAGGCAGCCAGAGCAGGGAUGUGCCUUGCUGUAACCCGCUGGGGGCCAGCAGCAGAGCUGGGGACAGGACUCUGGAAGGCUCAGAGCAAAGCCCAGGCCAUACACCAGUGUGCCCAGCACAGGCAGCUUGCUGGGGGCCUGGCAGAGCCGAUGUCCUGCCUGCAGGCUGCCUGGAUCUCUCUUGCUCCUCUUUCCACAUCCACCCGGCCCCUCUGACUGCCAUACAAAGCUUCUUUCCCCCAGGGGCGUUGAUAUUUAAAGGUUUUUGGAGAAAUCCAUUUGCACUGUAAGGAUGACUAAUGGUGAGGCCUGGGGGUGAGUUCAGUCUCCUCCAGGCCUCAUCCCCGCCAGGCCAGGAGCUGGCCAGAAAACGAGAGAGUGCUUCCCCCUCCCUCGGCCCUGUGCUAGCAGCAUCGUGCGUUCACCCCGCACAUCUCAUCCUGAAAUGUUGCCCCAACCCCUUGCGACUUUUGGGAGCUUUUUUGGAGGGAUCGAGCGCUGCUGCCCUGGUUGAACAGCCACGUUGCUGCCCCAGGUCUCUGCUGAGAUCCUUUUUGGAGGGGAGGUCACACAAAGGGUCUGGGGGUGCCGGAGUUCCCAAGGAGCCUGGCUGGGUCUCCUCCUGCUCACCCUACACCACGAGCCGUGUCCCAGGCUGGGGACUGUCCCCUGCCACCCGCUGUCCCCUGUGAGGAAGGGUUCAUGGUUAAAGGAUCAGGGAAGGAGAUGAGAGUGGACUUUCUGCGUGCCAGGACAUCCUCCCGGGACAGCUAGUUGGCCCGUUUGAAGCCUCGCUCUGCCAAAGCCGUGCAUUUCCUCUCCGCAGGGAUUUUCCACCCCAUCUCCACAUUUCACACAGACUUGCUGUGGGUGAGGCCCAAGCUGAAGGGCUCGUUCAUUCCUUUCACAGAGCUGGAUCCUGCACCUUGCACCGGCUGCUCCCCAGCCUGGCCGUGCCUUCGCCUUUGCUUCCCUCUCCUCUCCCCCUCCAGCUUCUUUCUCCCCUCCUCUGGGGCUUUGCCCCACGUCGGAGCAGGGAGCGCCCCUCCACCAAGCAGCCUGCUCCUGGCCCUGCACACGGUGGCUUCAUCAUAGGAAGAAAGGGGGAGGAAAAAAGAAAAAGAAACAAGAAAAAAAGAAAAAAAAAAAAAAGAGGACUCAUUUUCUUUAAAAAAUACAAACAUGGAAACCUUCCCAUUAGUGUGUGAGCUGAUGGAUUUCCAAUCGGCUCCGCGGCCGAGGCAGUCUGCACACACAGAGCAUGGACCCGCAGCCUGCCUCGCGCCGUAGCCUUUCUAUUUUUUGAUGGUAGGGAGGUUCAAGUCGAGACAGAGCAGCCCCCAGGGAGUUUUUCUCGCUGCAGUUCUGCCUGUUUGAAGAUCCCAGCCUGGGAGGUCAGCGGUGUCUGUGCAGGACCUGGGCAGGGAGCUCGGCCCCAUCCCAUCCGCAGGCUGCAAAUCUGCCUGAGCCCGGCCACUCGCACGUCUGUGCUCUUGGGAAAGCACUUAAGCCUCUUGCUUCCAGUCCAAGUGCAUCCUGCUUAAAUCUCCCUCCUGGAUCUGGGCGCUUAAUAAGUCUUAGCAUUUUAUUAGCAGAUACUAAUAGCAGUGGCUCGGAGCCGCGUGCUUUGAAUUCAAAUCCCCCUCGGCACAACAUGCUCCGCUCAUCCCCCUGGCCGCGCGGACGCAGACAUCUCCCACAUCCCCUACGUGGAGCCCUUCCUGCCCAAGGGGUGAGCAGCCAGUUCCUGCUAACUGCAGGCUGAAUCUCACCAGCACCAUUAGCAGGGGCCAGCAGGAGAAAGGGGGCCACCAAACCUGCAGCCCCCAGACCUGCACCGAGCAGAAGCUGCCGUGUCCAAAAGUGCCUCCAAAAGCCUUCUCUCCCACCUCCGGUGGCCUCUCCAGGGAAGUGGGCCUCUAGCAGGCGAGAUGAAGCAAGGCUGAGCUGGUGGAUAUUGAUGGCAACGUAGGAACUGGGCCAGAAAGUUGCCUCUGGAUAGGGAGGAGGAGAUGCAGUGGAGAGCAACCAAGCCACA